AUUGAACGCUGGCGGCAGGCCUAACACAUGCAAGUCGAGCGGAUGAAGGGAGCUUGCUCCUGGCUUCAGCGGAGGACGGGUGUGUAAUGCCUAGGAAUCUGCCUGGUAGUGGGGGAUAACGUCCGGAAACGGGCGCUAAUACCGCAUACGUCCUGAGGGAGAAAGUGGGGGAUCUUAGGACCUCACGCUAUCAGAUGAGCCUAGGUCGGAUUAGCUAGUUGGUGGGGUAAAGGCCUACCAAGGCGACGAUCCGUAACUGGUCUGAGAGGAUGAUCAGUCACACUGGGACUGAGACGCGGUCCAGACUCCUACGGGAGGCAGCGAUUGGGAAGAGUGGACGAAGGGGGAAAGCCUGAUCCAUGCAUGCCGGGUGUGUGAAGAAGGUCUUCGGAUUGUAAAGCACUUUAAGUGGGGAGGAAGGGCAGUAAGUUAAUACCUGGCUGUUGUGACGUUACCAACAGAAUAAGCACCGGCUAACUUCGUG
rnacentral:rRNA from 1 species